rnacentral:rRNA from 1 species
AGUGAACGCUGGCGGUAGGCCUAACACAUGCAAGUCGAACGGCAGCACAGUAAGAGCUUGCUCUUACGGGUGGCGAGUGGCGGACGGGUGAGGAAUACAUCGUAAUCUACUUUUUCGUGGGGGAUAACGUAGGGAGACUUACGCUAAUACAGCAUACGACCUACGGGUGAAAGCAUGGGAUCUUCGGACCUUGCGCGGUUGGAUGAGCCGAUGUCGGAUUAGCUAGUUGGCUGGUUAAAGGCCCACCAAGGCGACGAUCCGUAGCUGGCCUGAGAGGAUGAUAAGCCACACUGGAACUGAGACAGGCUCCAGACUCCUACGGGAGGCAGCAGUGGGGAAUAUUGGACAAUGGGGGGAAGUCUGAUCCAGCCAUCCCGCGUGGGUGAAGAAGGCCUUCCGGUCGUAAAGCCCUUUUGUUGGGAAAGAAACGCAGCAGCUUAAUACCCCGCUGUUCUGACGGUACCCAAAGAAUAAGCACCGGCUAACUUCGUG